CACGUAGGCACCAAGCGUUGUCCGGAUUUAUUGGGCGUAAAGAGCUCGUAGGCGGUUUGGUAAGUCGGGUGUUAAAACUCUGGGCUCAACCCAGAGACGCCAUCCGAUACUGCUAUGACUUGAGUACGGUAGGGGAGUGGGGAAUUUCUAGUGUAGCGGUGAAAUGCGCAGAUAUUAGAAGGAACACCAGUGGCGAAGGCGCCACUCUGGGCCGUAACUGACGCUGAGGAGCGAAAGCAUGGGUAGCAAACAGG
rnacentral:rRNA from 1 species